GACAGAGGGUGCAAACGUUGUUCGGAAUUACUGGGCGUAAAGCGAGUGUAGGCGGUUCGAUAAGUCGGAUGUGAAAGCCCCGGGCUCAACCCGGGAAGUGCACUCGAUACUGUCGAGCUAGAGUAUCGGAGAGGUUGGUGGAAUUCUCGGUGUAGAGGUGAAAUUCGUAUAUAUCGAGAGGAACACCGGUGGCGAAGGCGGCCAACUGGACGAAUACUGACGCUGAGACUCGAAAGCGUGGGGAGCAAACAGG
rnacentral:rRNA from 1 species